rnacentral:rRNA from 1 species
UACGUAGGUGGCAAGCGUUGUCCGGAUUUACUGGGCGUAAAGAGCGCGCAGGCGGUCGUUCAAGUCGCGUGUGAAAGCCCCCGGCUCAACUGGGGAGGGUCACGCGAUACUGAUCGACUCGAAGGCAGGAGAGGGAAGUGGAAUUCCCGGUGUAGUGGUGAAAUGCGUAGAUAUCGGGAGGAACACCAGUGACGAAGGCGACUUCCUGGCCUGUUCUUGACGCUGAGGCGCGAAAGCUAGGGGAGCAAACGGG